rnacentral:rRNA from 1 species
AACGAACGCUGGCGGCAGGCUUAACACAUGCAAGUCGAACGCCCCGCAAGGGGAGUGGCAGACGGGUGAGUAACGCGUGGGAAUCUACCUAGUUCUACGGAACAACACAGGGAAACUUGUGCUAAUACCGUAUACGCCCUACGGGGGAAAGAUUUAUCGGAAUUAGAUGAGCCCGCGUAAGAUUAGCUAGUUGGUGGGGUAACGGCCUACCAAGGCGACGAUCUUUAGCUGGUCUGAGAGGAUGAUCAGCCACACUGGGACUGAGACACGGCCCAGACUCCUACGGGAGGCAGCAGUGGGGAAUAUUGGACAAUGGGCGAAAGCCUGAUCCCGCCAUGCCGCGUGAGUGAUGAAGGCCUUAGGGUUGUAAAGCUCUUUCAGUGGGGAAGAUAAUGACGGUACCCACAGAAGAAGCCCCGGCUAACUUCGUGCCAGCCGCCGCGGUAACAC